AUGAAGCCCUUAGGCACAUCGCCCUCUUCUGGCCUGCACCUUGCUCCAUUGCUAAUUGUCCUAUUGAUGCACCGGCCGCAUCUGCUUGUAGUCGUAGCGGACAACCUCACGGCCGGAUCGUCUCUCAGGCCCCCUCAGUACAUCACCUGCCCCUCCGGUGACUUCGCCUUCGGCUUUCGUGCCCUCGACUAUGACCCCAGUCACUUCCUCCUCGCCGUCUGGUUCAACCUCAACCUUGACCUGGCAGCCGACCCCAGGCAGAAGAAGGUGGUGUGGUACGCGAAAGACCCGGUCUCAGACUCGGCAAUCAUGGCCACGGGGCAGGCCGUGUUCAGCAUCACCCCCCAUGGUGAGCUCUUGCUCACAGACUCCACCACCGGCGGCAACAUCUGGACGAACCCGAGCCCUGGCCAGUCUGGGAACGUCCUGACGCUACAGGACUCGGGCAACCUCCAGUUCAUCGCCAUCGGGGGGAGCGCCGUCGUCUGGGAGACCUUUGGGCACCCGACCGACACGCUCCUCCCGGGUCAGACAAUGGCCUCCGGAGCAAAACUUCAGUCUAAGCAAUCGGACACGGACUUCUCCGCUGGCCGCUUCAGCUUGUAUGUGCAGGCUAACGGCAAUAUCGUCUUGUACCUCAUGAACCUCGCCGGUGACAACAUGGACUCGUACAAUUCAUACUGGCGCACCGGCACCGACCAGCCCGGGCAAACCCAGGACGGCAACACCACCCUUUUCUUCGACUCGCCGGGUCACCUCCACUACCAGAUCAAGGAUGGCACGAUGCACGAUCUGACACCUCCCGUGCCGAACUCCGCCGUUAGUUACUACCAGCAUGCAACGCUUGAUCCGGAUGGCAUUGUUCGUGUCUACAUCCUGCAGAAGAAUGCCACCGGAAGGCGCAACGUGCCAUGGACGAUCUUUGGGCUGUUCCCAAGCAAUGGUUGCAACAGCAGCACUACAGGCUGGGAAGGAAUGUGCGGCCCCAACUCGUACUGUGUUUAUGGUCCUAACAACAAGCUCGAUUGUGAGUGCCCAAGUGGUUACUCCUUCAUCGAUCCUAGGCUCAAGUACAGAGGCUGCACACCAGUGUUCGUGCCACAGAGCUGCGAUGGGAAGAACCGGCCCUCCGAAUUCAGUCUUCUUAAAUUGCCAAACACCACUUGGUCGCUGUCAUCAUACAGAGGGUAUUCGUACACCACAGAGGAGCAGUGCGACAACUCAUGCUUGCGAGACUGCUUCUGCACCGCCACUCUGUUCGAUGGAAAAGUUUGUUACAAAAUGGCAUUAUUGGCGGGCGCAGGAUGGCAGGAGGGAAGCCUCAACAUGAAGGCAUCGAUCAAGGUGCGGACAAGCAGCCUCCCGAUGCCGACAUCACCGAGAAGACCAUUGCCUUAUUUACUGCUGAUUUGCUCGGUGCUAUUGAUGCUGGCUGCAGCAAGUAGUCUCAUGCUACAGGGUUGCCUUUGGAAGAAGAACACUAACCAUGAUUUCCUGAGGGUUUUCACCGGGAAGGAGCUUUACAAAGCCACCAAUGGCUUUCACAAGUUGUUGGGCAAAGGAGGCUUUGGAGAGGUCUACCAUGGGGUGAUAAUGUCGCCACACACCUCUGAUGUAGCAGUGAAGAAGCUCAUCAACUCCAACGAGUACAGCGAGAGGGAGUUCACGAAUGAGGUGCAGUCCAUCGGCAGGAUUCAUCAUCGGAAUCUAGUCCGCAUGGUUGGUUACUGCAAGGAGCGGGAGCAAAGGAUGCUUGUGUUCGAGUUCAUGCCAGGUGGCUCCCUUCGAAGCUUCCUCUUCCAGCCUCAACGGCCGUUGUGGACGUGGCGUGUAGAGGCAGCAAUUGGGAUUGCCAAAGGGCUAGAGUAUUUACAUGAAGGCUGUGAUUAUCCGAUCAUUCAUUGCGACAUCAAGCCCGACAAUAUACUUCUAGAUGGCAAGAGCAAUCCAAAGAUAACUGACUUUGGGAUCGCCGAGCUUCUCAACAACCAGCAGAUGCACACCACAGUGACCAAUAUCAGAGGUACAAGGGGCUAUAUUGCCCCUGAGUGGUUCCAAAAUGAUAGGCGCAUCGAUACCAAAGUUGAUGUUUACAGCUUCGGUGUUGUGCUACUGGAGAUGAUAUGCUGCCGGAAGUGCCAGGAUCCGGUGACCGGGCAGGAUGGUGAUGACUCGGUCACGCUAUUCUGGUGGGCCGGUCAGUUGGUCUGUCAUGGAAGGAUUGAGGUGUUGUUGCAUGGUGACGACGACGCCAUGGAGGACUUGGUCAGAGUGGAGAGAUUCUCGCGUGUGGCGUUCUGGUGCAUUGAGCCGAAUCCUUUGCUGCGACCAACAAUGCACCAGGUUGUGCAGAUGUUGGAGGGUGUGGUUGAGGUUGGCCUCCUACCUGAUCCUCCAAGCUCCACAGAUUCACCACCCUUAAUCUCUUCAGUUGACCGGAGUGCUUCGCUGUCAAGUGAUACUCCUCUUACUCCUCUUCAGGUGGAGUGA
rnacentral:rRNA from 1 species